UUUAUAUUUCCGGUCCAAUCCGUAAACGUCAGAACAUGGGGAAAUAUUAUUGUUGCAUGACAAAUUGUCAUAAUUUUCAGGGCCAUUGCCACAAGACAUUCUCAACAUUCCACUGACUUCAUACUUGCCCACCGAUAUGGAGGAAGUGGAUUUGAGAUCUGAAAUGACAACAAUGGUCAUACGGGUUCUUUGUGAGAACAUACUUAUGUUUCAUCAUUUGAGCAAAGAGAUAACAGCUCACAUCAAGCACAGAUAUUCAAAAGAGAGUUCAAAGAAAAGCAUUCUGGUCAGUGAAAUAUGAAAAGGGGUGGGAUCUUUCUCAGUGGUAGAGUGUGUGCCCAAGUUCUGGGGUCACAGGAUAAGGUGAUUGAAAAAUGUUUCCUUCAUUCCAG